CACCUAAGAAUGAAAAAUACUAUAAGAUACAAUUUCACAUUACAUCUAGAAAAGGAUAGCUAUAUUUAACUUGAUCUAGUAGAAGAUGUACAACUAUCAUACCCAUAUAAUGUAGAUUAACAAACUGAUUCAAGAUAAAUACUAUUAAGCCAAUCCUACACCCAUACUACUUGUAUACAUAAAAUUGGGUGGAUCUAGAAUUUUAGAUCUAGAUAGACUAGAUUCUUAUUAAAAUUCUAGAUCUUUUCUAUUAAGUAAUAAAAAUCUUUAAAAUGUAUUUUAAUAUGGAUGAAGUUUAACAGAAAUGAUUGGAAAAUAGUCGAUGCCAACGCAGAGGCUCUUGUUCUCGUAUGAGCCAUAGUUGUCUAUUGACUGAAGGUGGUGGAGAUAAUUCAACAAGAUGAUUUACAAUGUAAUUCAAGAGAUCUGUCUAGUCUGUUGGACUGUUAAGGCACCACACAAGGUUUGUCGACCAUUCUUUUCCUCACCGUCUUUUGAAUGACUAAUUCCUGAGAAUAGUAAACCGUUAUUGUUAAAGAAUAUACAGCCAAGAUCUUGCAGCGGACAGUAGAAAAUGGCAGUUUGAACUUCAGAUCAUUGUGUCAACCGUCUCGUGCAAACCACAAAACCAGGCAGUGUAAUCAAGAUCUACCUAAGAAUGAAAAAUAC